CGUGUAGGUGGCUCUUCAAGUCUCUGGUGAAAUCUCCCGGCUUAACCGGGAGGGUGCCAGGGAAACUGGAGGGCUUGAGGGCAGCAGAGGGGGGUGGAAUUCCCGGUGUAGUGGUGAUAUGCGUAGAUAUCGGGAGGAACACCAGUGGCGAAGGCGGCCCCCUGGGCUGUUCCUGACACUGAGGCGCGAAAGCGUGGGGAGCAAACA
rnacentral:rRNA from 1 species